CAGCAUGGAGCACAGCCAGGAGAAACUGUUCUGGGUGAAGAGCCAGAUCUGCUCUGGAAUGCAGCAAAGAGCUCCUUCCUGCUUUCUCAGCCCCUGCAGCAGCUCCUGCUUCACUCCAAGAAAAUGCCAGCCCCCUAAGAACCUGUCCCUUUGGAACAGUGGAUCCAAAAGCUGACCCAAGAGACCUUGAACUUAACACCUCUGUGUCAUGGGCUCCUUAAUGAUAGAAAGAAGAUUGCUUUAGAAGACUGGUUUGCAAACCAGUCUGCUGGGCACUAGAAGCCUUGGGAAGAUUUGAAAAAUAAAUCUUAUUGGCCUCACCAUUUCACAUUCUGACUUAGAGGGUGUGGGCUCUCUAAUCUGAUUGUGUUUUUUUCUGUUUUUGUUUUUGUUUUUGAGACAGAGUCUUACUCUUUUGCCCAGGCUGGAGUGCAGUGGCGCGAUCUCGGCUCACUGCAACCUCCACCUCCCAGUUUCAAGCGAUUCUCCUGCCUCAGCCUCCCGAGU
rnacentral:lncRNA from 1 species